GAUGAAGAACGCAGCGAAAUGCGAUAAGUAAUGUGAAUUGCAGAAUUCAGUGAAUCAUCGAAUCUUUGAACGCACAUUGCGCCCCUUGGUAUUCCGAGGGGCAUGCCUGUUCGAGCGUCAUUUUGACCACUCCCGCUUGCGGGGUCUUGGGCCUUCGCCUCUGGGCGGGCCUUAAAAUCAGUGGCGGUGCCGUCCGGCUCUAAGCGUAGUAAUUCUUCUCGCUAUGGAGUCCUGGUGGAUGCUUGCCAUCAACCCCCAAUUUUUCUAUGGUUGACCUCGGAUCAGGUAGGGAUACCCGCUGAACUUAAGCAUAUCAAUAAGCGGAGGA
rnacentral:misc_RNA from 1 species